UUUGUACUCCCUCCGUCCCAAAAUUUUUGUCUUAAAUUUGUCUAAAUACGGAUGUAUAUAGUUUUAGUGUUAGAUACAUCCGUAUCUAAACAAAUGUGAGAAAAGAAUUUUGGGACGGAGGCAAUACUAC
rfam:Triticum aestivum genome assembly, contig: Triticum_aestivum_CS42_TGACv1_scaffold_050198_1BS